rnacentral:rRNA from 1 species
GACGAACGCUGGCGGCGUGCCUAAUACAUGCAAGUAGAACGCACAGUAUAUACCGUAGCUUGCUACACCAUAGACUGUGAGUUGCGAACGGGUGAGUAACGCGUAGGUAACCUGCCUGGUAGCGGGGGAUAACUAUUGGAAACGAUAGCUAAUACCGCAUAAUAUUAAUUAUUGCAUGAUAAUUGAUUGAAAGAUGCAACUGCAUCACUACCAGAUGGACCUGCGUUGUAUUAGCUAGUAGGUGAGGUAACGGCUCACCUAGGCGACGAUACAUAGCCGACCUGAGAGGGUGAUCGGCCACACUGGGACUGAGACACGGCCCAGACUCCUACGGGAGGCAGCCUGUAGGGAAUCUUCGGCAAUGGACGGAAGUCUGACCGAGCAACGCCGCGUGAGUGAAGAAGGUUUUCGGAUCGUAAAGCUCUGUUGUAAGAGAAGAACGAGUGUGAGAAG